rnacentral:misc_RNA from 1 species
GAUUUAUGUACAACACAACAAUCUCGACCCUUUUUUUAAAAUAACUAUGGCGAGAUUGAUCAACUUAGAGAACUCAUGGGAAUAAAACGAAGUCACUAAGUUGUGAAGCUGUAAAUAUUAUUCAGAGCAUGAAAUCCAUGAACUUUGGCCAAGGCAAAUCUACACUGAUUUCAGUUUGAGCUUCUUUUUUACAUCUUGAAGACGACGACGUUUCCGCGCCUAACUUUUUUGGGCACAAAAAGAAGUUUCUUGUUCCCAACGCCAUCAACUUUUCUGCCCUGUCCAGACUGGCUAAGCUAAACUGCGAAUAGUGAAGAUCGUAAUCGAACAAAUCCGUGGAGCAAAGUGCCGGACGUCUUCCUUCCUUCGAGUAUUGCCGUACAGCGGUGGCGAUGAGAUCGUGAACGGUUGAUUCCGGUGAUAUUAGCACCUGUACAGGGCCUGGACUGCGCUGAAUCGUCACAUUCAAUAGCAACUUUGUCAACUUUGGCCUAACCUGUAAAUCCGGCAUAAAACCGGAAGCAGAUCCCUUGCCGGAGAAUAAGUCCGGAACAGUCCUAAUUCUUCGUGAUAUCUCUGAAGUGCUCCCUGGGAUAUAUCCUUCAAACGACAUGGAUUUCUCCGACAACUUUCCCUUCCGAUUCCUCUCCUCAAUUACUCGCCGGCAACUUCUCGGAGAUGCCAUCACAGUAUAGAAAUAUGGAUUUACCAGAGUGGUAGAAUCGUAAUUAAGGACGAAACAAAGGGCAAAAUGAAGAGUUCAUGGUUCAACGUGAAGAAGGCAUAAAUCACUCUCAUACACCUCUAAGCAGCUCGGA